GAUGAACGCUAGCGAUAGGCCUAACACAUGCAAGUCGAGGGGCAUCACAUGAAGUAGCAAUACGGAUGGUGGCGACCGGCGCACGGGUGAGUAACACGUAUGCAACCUGCCUUCAACAAGGGGAUAACCCGUUGAAAGACGGACUAAUACCCUAUAACACAGGGGUCCCGCAUGGGAAUAUUUGUUAAAGGACAACCGGUUGAAGAUGGGCAUGCGUUCCAUUAGCUAGUUGGCGGGGUAACGGCCCACCAAGGCAACGAUGGAUAGGGGAACUGAGAGGUUUAUCCCCCACACUGGUACUGAGACACGGACCAGACUCCUACGGGAGGCAGCAGUGAGGAAUAUUGGUCAAUGGACGCAAGUCUGAACCAGCCACGUCGCGUGAAGGAAGACGGCCCUACGGGGUUGUAAACUUCUUUUAUACGGGGAAUAAAGUGCCCCACGCGUGGGGUUUUGCAUGUACCGUAUGAAUAGGAUCGGCUAACUCCGUGCCAGCAGCCG
rnacentral:rRNA from 1 species